CGGGGGGGGGGGCAAGCGUUGUUCGGAAUUACUGGGCGUAAAGGGCGCGUAGGCGGUCCCGCAAGUCCUCCGUGAAAUCCCACAGCUCAACUGUGGAACUGCGAGGGAAACUGCAGGACUUGAGUCCGGGAGAGGAGAGUGGAAUUCCCAGUGUAGCGGUGAAAUGCGUAGAUAUUGGGAAGAACACCGGUGGCGAAGGCGGCUCUCUGGACCGGUACUGACGCUGAGGCGCGAAAGCUAGGGGAGCAAACGGGAUUAGAUACCCCGGUAGUCCUAGCCUUAAACGAUGAGCACUUGGUGUGGCGGGUAUCGACCCCUGCCGUGCCGAAGCUAACGCAUUAAGUGCUCCGCCUGGGGAGUACGGUCGCAAAGGCUG
rnacentral:rRNA from 1 species